GAUGAACGCUGGCGGCGUGCCUAAUACAUGCAAGUCGAGCGAACAGAUGAGGAGCUUGCUCCUCUGACGUUAGCGGCGGACGGGUGAGUAACACGUGGAUAACCUACCUAUAAGACUGGGAUAACUUCGGGAAACCGGAGCUAAUACCGGAUAAUAUAUUGAACCGCAUGGUUCAAUAGUGAAAGACGGUUUUGCUGUCUCUUAUAGAUGGAUCCGCGCCGCAUUAGCUAGUUGGUAAGGUAACGGCUUACCAAGGCAACGAUGCGUAGCCGACCUGAGAGGGUGAUCGGCCACACUGGAACUGAGACACGGUCCAGACUCCUACGGGAGGCAGCAGUAGGGAAUCUUCCGCAAUGGGCGAAAGCCUGACGGAGCAACGCCGCGUGAGUGAUGAAGGUCUUCGGAUCGUAAAACUCUGUUAUUAGGGAAGAACAAAUGUGUAAGUAACUAUGCACGUCUUGACGGUACCUAAUCAGAAAGCCACGGCUAACUACGUG
rnacentral:rRNA from 1 species